rnacentral:rRNA from 1 species
UACGGAGGGGGCUAGCGUUGUUCGGAAUUACUGGGCGUAAAGCGCGCGUAGGCGGACCUGCAAGUCGGGGGUGAAAGCCCGAGGCUCAACCUCGGAACUGCCUUCGAUACUGCGGGUCUCGAGUCCGGGAGAGGUGAGUGGAAUUCCUAGUGUAGAGGUGAAAUUCGUAGAUAUUAGGAAGAACACCAGUGGCGAAGGCGACUUACUGGACAGAUAUUGACGCUGAGGUGCGAAAGCGUGGGGAGCAAACAGG